UUCACACAUGAUGAUCGAUUUGGGACUUAAUUCUGAAAGUCUGAUGUCACUUUUAUAGAUCUGAUGUGU
ensembl:snoRNA SNORD82 Small nucleolar RNA SNORD82